AGAGUUUGAUCCUGGCUCAGGACGAACGCUGGCGGCGUGCCUAACACAUGCAAGUCGAACGAAGCACUGUGGAUAGAGACUUCGGUCAAUUGAAACUUUGACUUAGUGGCGGACGGGUGAGUAACGCGUGAGGAACCUGCCUUUCAGUGGGGGACAACAGUUGGAAACGACUGCUAAUACCGCAUAAUGUAUUCGGAAGGCAUCUUCUGAAUACCAAAGGAGAAAUCCGCUGAGGGAUGGGCUCACGUCUGAUUAGUUAGUUGGUGAGGUAACGGCUCACCAAGACUGCGAUCAGUAGCCGGACUGAGAGGUUGAACGGCCACAUUGGGACUGAGAUACGGUCCAGACUCCUACGGGAGGCAGCAGUGGGGAAUAUUGGGCAAUGGAGGGAACUCUGACCCAGCAACGCCGCGUGAAGGAUGAAGGUCUUCGGAUUGUAAAGUUCUGUGAUGGGGGACGAAGAAAGUGACGGUACCCCAAUAGCAAGCUACGGCUAACUACGUGCCAGCAGCCGCGGUAAUACGUAGGUAGCAAGCGUUGUCCGGAAUGACUGGGCGUAAAGGGUGCGUAGGUGGCUUAACAAGUUGGUAGUGAAAUUCCGAGGCUUAACUUCGGCGCUACUACCAAGACUGUUGAGCUUGAGUACAGGAGAGGUAAGUGGAAUUCCUAGUGUAGCGGUGGAAUGCGUAGAUAUUAGGAGGAACACCAGUGGCGAAGGCGACUUACUGGCCUGCAACUGACACUGAGGCACGAAAGCGUGGGGAGCAAACAGGAUUAGAUACCCUGGUAGUCCACGCCGUAAACGAUGAUUACUAGGUAUGGGAGGUAUCGACUCCUUCCGUGCCGCAGCAAACGCAAUAAGUAAUCCGCCUGGGGAGUACGGCCGCAAGGUUGAAACUCAAAGAAAUUGACGGGGACCCGC
rnacentral:rRNA from 1 species